UACAGAGGGUGCAAGCGUUGUCCGGAAUUAUUGGGCGUAAAGAGCUCGUAGGCGGUUCGUCGCGUCGGCCGUGAAAACCUGCAGCUUAACUGUGGGCGUGCGGUCGAUACGGGCAUCACUGGAGUUCGGCAGGGGAGACUGGAAUUCCUGGUGUAGCGGUGAAAUGCGCAGAUAUCAGGAGGAACACCGGUGGCGAAGGCGGAUCUCUGGGCCUUACCUGACGCUGAGGCGCGAAAAGCUAGGGGGAGCGAACAGG
rnacentral:rRNA from 1 species